rnacentral:lncRNA from 1 species
CCGAAUUAGACGUACCGACACAGUAACAGGGUAAUACUAGUGUGGGGCCGAUACUGAGACGGCAUAUCUUGGUUCUGAGUAUGUACUCUAGAAGCAAAAGGAAGGAACAACGAAGAGCCUAAAACAAAAAUAGUAAUAUGUGAGAUAGAAAAGAUGCAAGAUCCUUAGAGACAUUGUGGGAAGAACAUAGUUGCUACAAUCCAAAAAAGGAAAGAGCAAAACAGUUAACUACCCGAAAAAAGAAAGAACUAUCUGAACUUAAAAAUGCAAAAGAUGUGGGAAUAUGACAUACUAUAUUCAGUGGAUUGAUCAUAGAGAAUUUGCAAUGUGAUAGAUGAAGUAUGUUGGUGGCCAAAACAUACACACACACAGUGAGAGAGGGAGAGAGAGAGUCAGAGAUGAAAUUGAAGAAUUUCAAAUAUAUUGAAAAAGCUAAUAAAGCUAAACAGGUAGCAAGGCUACAUAUACAGUUUGUUAAUUAAGAAUGGUGGUCAUAUUCGUGGACAUCAAAAAAUCCAUUUUAUGUCUGAGUUCUUGUUUUCAAAUAAAAUAGAUUUAUGAAGUCCAUGUGUAUGACCAUUCCCAUCUAAUUACAGUGGAGAUGGCUAAAAAACGGAUGCGACAGGUUAAGGCAUAUAUGCAGUUUGUAAAUUAAGAAUGGUCAUAUUCGUGGACACCAAAAAAUCCAAUUCUAUGUCUGAGUUUUUAUACUCAACUAGAAUGGAUUCUUGAUGUCCAUGUGUAUGACCAUUCAUAUGUAACUACACCGAAGAUGACUAUAUAUGCAGUUUGUAAAUUAAGAACAGUCAUAUUCGUGGACACCAAAAAAUCCAUUUUAAGUCUGAGUUUUUAUAUUUAAAUAGAAUGGAUUUUCGAUGUCCAUGUGUAUGACCAUUCAUAUCUAACUACAGUGUAGAUGGCUAAAAAAAGCAUGUGGCAGAUUAAAGCAUUUGGAUGAUAGCAAAAU